UGAUUCGAUGCAAAUGCCCCUUCUACCCCAAUGAUCUUCUGCAACUUUUCGGCAAACGAUCCAGUGUUUUUUUGGCCAAGAUCUUCACGUGCAAAGAAGAAACAAAGAAGAAGCAAGAAAGAAAAUACAAGAAACAAAGGAGGGAGAGUAUGAAAAAGCUGCAGUUACACAGCAGUGCGACGGCGGGUUGCAGCAGUAAAAGAGAAGAUGCUGCAUAUGUUUUAUUGAGAAGAGGAUAUUUUAGUUUUAGGGUUUCACAGAAAGAGCUUUUUAUAAGCUCAAGUUGGGCUGCCCAACGAUGGGCCGAGUAUUUCGCUAAAGUCUAACAAGAAUGAAAAAAAUACUUCGAAUAAAUGAAAUAGAUUAUAUGAAUAUAUAGAAUAAAUUACUUAAAAUAAAUAUCUAAUGCAAUUUAUUUAGUAUUUUGUGUGUCUGUGUAUGUAGUAAUGGUAAUUAUUUAAUAAAUAUAAAAAAAAAUAUUAGAAUAGCUCUAGCACUAGCAGUCAUCCCGUUACACGUUAUACCCCUAUAUUUCAGUUUUGGGGGUAGCCGCUAUUCAGGAUGACAAGAUAGGUCACAACCCUAACGUUGUUUUUGAAUGCAUGAAAAACAAGGGAAAAGGUCAAGAAGUGCAAACACAACAUUGGUCACAACCCUAAAAUCUUCUUAUCACAUGUCAUCUUUACUAAGUUAUUGAUGUCAUAUCAUAAAUAUACUUUUUCUUUCCCACUUUCUACCCAAUCACACAAAAG
rnacentral:lncRNA from 1 species